UAGGGAAUCUUCGGCAAUGGGGGGAACCCUGACCGAGCAACGCCGCGUGAGUGAAGAAGGUUUUCGGAUCGUAAAGCUCUGUUGUUAAGGAAGAACGAGUGUGAGAAUGGAAAGUUCAUGCUGUGACGGUACUUAACCAGAAAGGGACGGCUAACUACGUGCCAGCAGCCGCGGUAAUACGUAGGUCCCGAGCGUUGUCCGGAUUUAUUGGGCGUAAAGCGAGCGCAGGCGGUUAGAAAAGUCUGAAGUGAAAGGCAGUGGCUCAACCAUUGUAGGCUUUGGAAACUGUUUAACUUGAGUGCAGAAGGGGAGAGUGGAAUUCCAUGUGUAGCGGUGAAAUGCGUAGAUAUAUGGAGGAACACCGGUGGCGAAAGCGGCUCUCUGGUCUGUAACUGACGCAGAGGCUCGAAAGCGUGGGGAGCGAACAGG
rnacentral:rRNA from 1 species